rnacentral:lncRNA from 1 species
UAGAAAUCAUUUUCACCAGUUUCUUUUCACAAAUACCGAGAGAAACCGAGCGGUGUUCUUCGUGUUCUUCAUAAUCAAACGAGGAUUUGAAGGUGUUAUUGGAAUCCGAUGGAGGCGUAUGAAUAGUCAAAACGAAGCUAUCGACGCGUAGAAUCAGGUUUAAGCAUCCGUUUAUGUGCAGAUUUUUCAGGUGAUUUUAUAUUAAUUUUACAAAAUUCGAAUUAUUAUGAUUUAAAUAGUGAAUUCUUGCAAACGUGAUUGUUUGAUUGUUUGGAUGAUUCCAUGUUGUAGUACGUGCUUUUCUCGUCGUUUUGGUAUAUUAUAUGUUGAUUUUUGAGUUCGAUAACAUAUAGAAAAAGGGGUUUGAUUAUCGAAGCUUGUUCUUGAAUGUUCUUGUAGUUCUUGAAGGUUUUUAAUUCGAAAUUGGGGAUUUCUUGUUUAGUGAUGAACGACCUCCGUAGAGGUCGCCGGAUACUGGAAAGAGAGGCGGCGCCGCCGCUCUCUCUUCCAAAUUUACGGCAACUUGGGACGUUUGAUGUCGGUUAUAAGGUCAUGAAUAGAUUCAUGGUGGUCUGUAGAGUAGUUCUGGAGCUUGUGGUGGUUAACGGAGGCUGGGAACGCGUUUCCCGGCGAGUUGGGUGGUGGCCGGCGGAAACUUUCUGUUUGGUCACCCAACUUUUGAAGAUGAUGAAGUGAGGGUACCCUGGUUUCAAAACUUACAAAAUACCCCCUGUAACUUUGAAAAGUUACAGUUUAAACCUUGGCCGAAAACUUUCAAAAACUUGCAAAAUAAACCUUUUGAUUUAAUUGUUUUAUUUAAUUAUUUUUAAAUUCCAAAAAUAGUUUUUAAUUAUUUCUUUAUUCAAAAAUAAAUCUAAAUUAGUUUGUUAAUUAAUUUUAAUUAGUAAUUAAUUAUUUUAAUUAGUCAAUUAAUUUAAAUAUUAAUUGAUUAAUUAUUUUAAUUAAUUAUUAAUUGAUUUUAAUUGAUUAAUUAAUUGGAUUUAAUUAAUCCUUUUUGAUUUAAAAAUUCCGAAAAAUAGUUUCGAGCUUUAAAAUAUUUUUCCAAAUUAUUUUCAAGGCUCGAUAAUUGUUUAUGAAUGAUUUCAAGUCCAAUUUCAAGUAUUUGGGACUUGAUUAUUUAUCCGAAAAGUGAUUCUUUUAUCGAUUUUAAUUCCGAAAAAUGUUUAAAAAUUCCAGAAAAUUCCCGAAAAAUCAUUUUAAACCCGAGACUCGAUUUGACAUUAGUCGGGAUGAGAAAUCUUAUGUGUUAUGUGAUGUGUGUUAUUAGAGUGAUGUAUUAUGUGCUGAUAGAGGAAGUAGGAAACAAUUUGGAUCAUAACUUUUGAUCUGUAAAUCAGAAUCAAGUGAAACGAAAGAGAGACAGAAGCUUAUAACGUCUAUCUUAAUAUGAUGUGACUAUAUGGCCGAGUCUAGAAGUUGAAUAAUUGUUGAUAAGUAUGCAUAAUGUGAUAAUAUGUGAUCUAAGUGCUAUUAAGUGAUGAUUAUGUGAAGUACGUGUUAGUUUUGAUAUUGUGAAGUGAUAAAUGAUUCGUAUGAUUGAUAUUGGAUAAGAAUAUAUGGAUUAUAGUUAUUGGAUUUUGUUGGUUGAUUAAUGAUUGAGAUAGGAUAACAGGUGGAUAGUCUAAUAAAUAGACGAGAUGAUGUCGGAUUUUUGACAAGAUUUAUAUGAUAAUUGAUUGGUGAUAUGUUAUGUGGAAUAUGAUUGACUAUAUGUUAGAGUCAAAGCAUGCUUAUGUGUUACGUGGUAUCUGAUAAGUUUAAAGGGAUAUAUAAGUGGGUAUCGAUAUACGUGAUAUGUAUAUGCGAUAUAUUGUUUAGUGACUAUAGUAUUAUCUUAUUCUCGUAAAGGAUUUGGACGAGACGUGUACGCUCGAAGACGUCAGGAAGUCGAAAUGGUAUUGCAAAGCGAAUAAGGGAUGAAUCGAGUAAGCGAAGCGAUGUGGCGAAUAGAGUACGGCUAGAGAUGGUCUAGAAAUUAUAAUAUGAAUAGAUUGUGAAAGUGGAAAGAUGAGGUUGAGCUAUGAGACUGGAGUCAGAUUUAAGGCAAGUAUCCUACACCCUGCUUUUGGAUAUAUUGCAUAUUCUGAUCCAUUCUUUUCUAUAUGUGCUGCAAGUAUCCUAAACCUUUCUCUUGGAUAUAUUGCAAAUAUUCUGAUCCAUUCCUUUGGUAUAUGUUUCAAGUAUUCAUACCUUUCUUUUCAAUGUUCGAAAGUGCGAGUAUUCUGAACCAUUCUUUCUAAUCUUCAAGUUUCUAAAGAAUUUCCGUUUUACAAAUUAAUUCGAAGUUCAGAUUGUCAUUGAAGCAUGUGUUGCUCAGUGAUAGUUAGAGCUUUGAAUGAAUUGGGAUCUUCUUGAUUAUUCAACCCGCCAUUGUCAUGCUGGUUUAGCAGGCUAAAUUCAGUUGCUUAGCCGAUAAUGGAGGAUACUGAAUAGUUGAGGAUUUCCUGAACUGUGAUUUAUGAAAUGAUGAAUCAUGAUUUAUGAAUAGAUUAUUAUCAAAGUUUGAAUUGGAAUUAUUCUGUUGUUGAUGAUAUUUAUGAGGAUGUUCUGUUGAUUUACAUUGGCUUCUUGAAUUGAAUUAGAGAAUUGGAUUAUUGUUUUUAUAUAAACCUGUGGACCAGAUUCGUGGUCAUGUUAGGCCAAUGAGUGCCUUGGAUCCAGUAAUAGAGCAUGGCGGGGCCUGCUCGGGGUUAGUGCGGAACUGAUCAGCUGCCUAACCUUGGUUUUAAUUAAAAUGUGAUAGUCCAAUUCAAUAAUUCUUUGGAAAGAUUGAAUUUCUCAGUUUAAAUGCUGCAAGGUAUUGUGAAUCAUUCUAUACAAUACCAUCAACUCAUGAACUCAGGUUGAAUCCUCUUAUAUCUUGAACUCGUGAACUUCUAUUAUAUCAUUUCAGAACUAUCAUUGUUUAUUAUUACUUGCUGAGCAUUGUUGCUCACCCUUGCUAUUCCUUUCUAACCAUUUCAGAAAGGCUUAAAGAUGAGAUGAUUGAUUGAGAUUGUGAGUAAGGCUAAUGCUAGGCGAGGAGACAGAGUUGAGGAUCCAGUGGUCGAGGAGUGUUCAGAAAAGUUGAUGAGAUUGGUGCAAGCUGGAAUAGUUGACAGUGAUUCUUCUUAUCGAAGAUGAUCUGAUUUGGUAAGAGAUGUUGUGUAAUAAUAGUGGUAGAUUCUAAUUUCAAUACUGUAACCUGGAUGCGAUCCUGUUGUUUUGGGGGGUUUAGAUGUUCUCUUUCAAAUCUUUCAUUUAACGUCUUUCAGAUCUUUUAUUAUGGCUUUCAAGUUUGAAUUUCAAGUUUUAAAUCCUUUGACUUUUACUAUCAUUUCAAAAAAAUAAAAAAAAAUUCAAAAGUGUUUAAAAAUGGGUUUUAUGUGGUGACGUCAGAAUCCAG